UAGGGAAUCUUGCGCAAUGGGCGAAAGCCUGACGCAGCCAUGCCGCGUGAAUGAUGAAGGUCUUAGGAUUGUAAAAUUCUUUCACCGGGGAAGAUAAUGACGGUACCCGGAGAGGAAGCCCCGGCUAACUUCGUGCCAGCAGCCGCGGUAAUACGAAGGGGGCUAGCGUUGCUCGGAAUUACUGGGCGUAAAGGGCGCGUAGGCGGAUAUUUAAGUUGGGGGUGAAAGCCCGGGGCUCAACCUCGGAAUAGCCUUCAAUACUGGAUAUCUUGAGUUCGGGAGAGGUGAGUGGAAUGCCGAGUGUAGAGGUGAAAUUCGUAGAUAUUCGGCGGAACACCAGUGGCGAAGGCGACUCACUGGCCCGAUACUGACGCUGAGGCGCGAAAGCGUGGGGAGCAAACAGGAUUAGAUACCCUGGUAGUCCACGCCGUAAACGAUGAGUGCUAGUUGUCGGCAUGCAUGCAUGUCGGUGACGCAGCUAACGCAUUAAGCACUCCGCCUGGGGAGUCGGUCGCAAGAUUAAAAACUUAAAGGAAUUGACGGGGGUCAUAGCUGUUUCCUG
rnacentral:rRNA from 1 species